GGGGAAUAUUGGACAAUGGGGGCAACCCUGAUCCAGCAAUGCCGCGUGAGUGAAGAAGGCCUUAGGGUUGUAAAGCUCUUUUGGCGGGGAAGAUGAUGACGGUACCCGCAGAAUAAGUCCCGGCUAACUCCGUGCCAGCAGCCGCGGUAAUACGGAGGGGGCUAGCGUUGUUCGGAAUUACUGGGCGUAAAGGGCGUGUAGGCGGUUUAUCAAGUCAGGCGUGAAAGCCCCGGGCUUAACCUGGGAUGUGCGUUUGAUACUGAUAGACUUGAGAUCGGGAGAGGAAAGUAGAAUUUCCAGUGUAGAGGUGAAAUUCGUAGAUAUUGGAAGGAAUACCAGUGGCGAAGGCGGCUUUCUGGACCGAAUCUGACGCUGAGGCGCGAAAGCGUGGGGAGCAAAC
rnacentral:rRNA from 1 species